rnacentral:rRNA from 1 species
UAAGACGAACCGUGCGAACGUUAUUCGGAAUCACUGGGCUUAAAGCGCGUGUAGGCGGGUCGCUGCGUCGGCUGCUGAAAUCCCCCGGCUCAACCGGGGAACGGGCACCGAUACGAGCGGCCUGGAGGGGGGUAGGGGGGUCUGGAACUUCCGGUGGAGCGGUGAAAUGCGUUGAGAUCGGAAGGAACGCCCGUGGCGAAAGCGAGGCCCUGGACCCUUUCUGACGCUGAGACGCGAAAGCCAGGGGAGCGAACGGGAUUAGAUACCCCGGUAGUCCUGGCCGUAAACGAUGGGCACUGGGUAGGGGGCUCGCCGAUGGGCUCCCUGCCGAAGGGAAACCGUGAAGUGCCCCGCCUGGGGAGUAUGGUCGCAAGGCUG